CAAUGGCGGCCGGGCGAGGCGGGACUUCCGUCAGGGUAGAGCGAAGGGGGCGGGCGCGCGGGGGGCUCUGGGGGCUCCGAGGCGGGGGGGAGUGUGAGCCGCUCGGCUCUCAGAGAGGCUUCGCCUCCGGGCUGUGAGAGCGGGACGACCUUCGGGUCGUCUGCUCGCCCGCCCCGCGCCUCCCGCUGCCAGUGAGGUCACAAGGCUCGAAUCAGGGCUGAGCCGGGAACGAAAUCCAUCCCGCUCCUGGCUCCUGGCUGGAGUCCUGGGCUCCCACCCGCCUUCCUCGCAGCCGCUGGUUGCCACGCCUCUUCUAUAGCUUCUCCAUCUCCCCCACCCCACUCCCCCUCAGAUCUUGUUUCUUCAGGAAGAUGAUGAGAAUUUCUGCCUCACGAGAUUGUUACGAGGGUGAAAUCUACGUGAUGGCGCGUUGGAAGCGGUACUCCGCUAGGGAAAGGACCAGGGGGCCCUUGUAGGGCGGAGUGCUGCUGGGCGGCUGUGAAGGUCACGCCCCCUCCCUCUCCGCCCUCACGGCUCCGAAGUGAGAGAGGGCCUUAAGUUCUGUUCUGUGCAGCCGUCCUCGAAGCGAGGCUCCGCCUGUGUGAGUUCAGUGAAUUCCAGCUUCAAAAGGCGAGAUCUCAGUGGGGGAUAGCUCUGAAGCUGGGUCACCAUUUUCAGCUGGAAGGACCUAAAAUGUGCUUUUAAGAUGUGGCCAUAUCGCGUUAUUUUUGUCCAAACAGUUAAAUUCAACAAGUAUUUUCUAUUAUUUACUUUCUCUCUGCGUUGGACAGAAGGGUGAGGGAGUUUUUUCGCUGAAGGCUUUUUCCUGUUCUUGAGCCUUGGGACUAUUCUUAAUGAAUGGCUGUAUCUGGUGAGGCUGAUAAAAUGACCCAUUUUAUAUCAAGAGAUAAUCGGAGAAGGCAAUGGCACCCCACUCCAGUACUCUUGCCUGGAAAAUCCCAUGGACAGAGGAGCCUGGUGGGCUGCAGUCCAUGGGGUUGUGAAGAGUUGGACACGACUGAGCGACUUCACUUUCACUUUUCACUUUCAUGCAUUGGAAAAGGAAAUGGCAACCCACUCCAGUGUUCUUGCCUGGAGAAUCCCAGGGACAGGGGAGCCUGGUGGGCUGCCAUCUAUGGGGUCACACAGAGUCGGACACAACUGCAGCGACUUAGCAGCAGCAGCAGCAUAGAGAUGAUCAUGUGUUUUUUUCCCUUUAUUUUCUUAAUGUGGUGUAUUACAUUGAUUGAUUUCUGUAUGCUGAACCACCUUGCAUUCCAGGAAUAAAUCUCCCUUGGUGUUUAAUCCUUGUAAUAUACUGCUGAAUUUCGUUUGCCAGUAUUUAGUUUAGGAUUUUUUCAUCAGUGUUCAUAAGUGAUAUUUAUUGUAGUAACCUUAUCUGUUUUGGGGAUCAAGUUAAUGCUGGACUCAUAGAAUGAGUCUAGAGGUGUUCCUUCCCUUCAGUUUUUUGGGGAACGUUUGAGAAGGGUUAAUAUUAGUUGUUCUUUAAAUGUUUAGUAGAGUUCACCAUUGAAGCCAUCAAAAUGUCUAGGCUUUUCUUUCUUUUUUUUUUUUAGGCUUUUCUU